rnacentral:rRNA from 1 species
GAUGAACGCUAGCGGCAGGCCUAAUACAUGCAAGUCGAACGGUAGAUCGGGUAGCAAUACUUGAUUGAGAGUGACGUAAGGGUGCGUAACACGUAUGCAAUCUACCCUCAACAGGAGUAUAGCUCGGGGAAACUCGGAUUAACACUCCAUAACAUUACGAUGUGGCAUCACAUUGUGAUUAAAACUCCGGUGGUUGAGGAUGAGCAUGCGUCUGAUUAGUUAGUUGGAGGUGUAACGGACCCCCAAGACGAUGAUCAGUAGGGGAACUGAGAGGUUGAUCCCCCACACUGGUACUGAGACACGGACCAGACUCCUACGGGAGGCAGCAGUGAGGAAUAUUGGACAAUGGGCGAGAGCCUGAUCCAGCCAUGCCGCGUGCAGGAAGACGGCCCUAUGGGUUGUAAACUGCUUUUGUACGGGAAGAAACACCCCCUCGUGAGGGGGCUUGACGGUACCGUAAGAAUAAGGAUCGGCUAACUCCGUGCCAGCAG